rnacentral:rRNA from 1 species
UACGAAGGGGGCUAGCGUUGCUCGGAAUCACUGGGCGUAAAGCGCACGUAGGCGGAUCUUUAAGUCAGGGGUGAAAUCCCGGAGCUCAACUCCGGAACUGCCUUUGAUACUGAGGGUCUUGAGUCCGGGAGAGGUGAGUGGAACUGCGAGUGUAGAGGUGAAAUUCGUAGAUAUUCGCAAGAACACCAGUGGCGAAGGCGGCUCACUGGCCCGGUACUGACGCUGAGGUGCGAAAGCGUGGGGAGCAAACAAG